CAAUGCACCAAAAAUAUCCAAAAAGCACCAGACCAUGUCUGUUCUUGGACACUAAGCUGGGUCAGCCCUGGUGAGUACUUGGAUGGGAGACUGCCAAGUAAUAGUAGGUGCUGUAGGAU
rnacentral:rRNA from 11 species